rnacentral:tRNA from 1 species
GGGGUAGUAGCUCAGUGGUAGAGCUCCCGCUUCGUAUGCGGGAAGACUUGCGUUCGACUGCCGGCUGCUUCC